AAUAUGCGACGGCGGAGGUUCCACAAUCUUCGGACGGAGGGAAAGCGAUAUAUGUGUCCCAUCUGCGAUAUAAUUUCCUUCGCAAAUCACGACUUCACCGAUCCGGUCGCUCAACAACAACAAAAAACCGUGUCCAAGAAUAAUGGGGAGAUUCAGUUUGUAUGGAAAAUUUGCUCCAACGCACUUCAUUGCUGGAUCGGUACAUGCUGCCUUCGCUCGGAUAUGGACCGCCACAGCAAGUAGUAACAUUCCUAAUUCUGGUCGAAGCGCGGAGGACAUCAUUGGAUGCGCAACCGGAUAAUUCGACCGAGGCGGAGGCGUCGGCAAUCAGUCAAUCCGCCAAGGGAAAUAGACAAAGGUAAAGAUCCGUCAGCGAAGGCGUUCGAUAGUGGCAAGAAUGAAAAAGAUUUGGCGCUGGUUUCGAAACCGGUUGACAGUGCUACGAACGUGGCUAUUUUAGAUUUGAUGUUCCGCUGUCAGUUUCGAUUGGGAUUUCCAGUGAAAAUAGAAAUAUCGCUAUUCUGUGUGGUUAUCAUAUUUGACAACGUGAGAGCCCCCGCAGGCUGCAUACUUUUUAUCGGCAGAAAAUUUGAUCGAGUUGGCAUGUUAGUGCAAAAACCGACUCAACUGAAUCGGUAUAAUGUGCGCAUAAGCAUAUCUCUCCAUACUGAUUAAGUUGGCCGAUCAAACUACGGCCGUAAAACAGUCUGCAGUCUGCGGGGGCUCUAUGAGACACCCGUAACCAGCGUGAGCCACAUCAAGAAAAACGAAGACAUUUAUGCCUACCAAUUUUUAUUCGUAGGAUGUACCAAUGAUUAGUAGGGUAGAAAAUGACUAACGAAUUGGUAAUAUUUACCAAAAAAUUGGUCAUAUAUACUAAUUAUUCCUCUCAGUGUAGGGUGCCACCCCCAGUACUUAGUCAUCCUUUUCGAAUAAAAAAAUCAAACUUAUCUAAACAAGAAACGUAUUCAUUAGGAUAUUAGGAAGAUUAGCAGAUUAGGACGAACAAAAAAUCACACCGUCUUCACGCGUUGGUCACUGGGACUGACAGUUUCAAAAUAAGAAAAUAAAUAAAAUAUGGUUUAUUUGAGAAUGUCGAAAUAUGACUCAAAUAAAUAUAUUUAG